rnacentral:lncRNA from 1 species
AGAGUACCAAGAACAAUGUCACAAAAUUAUAAAACAUGAUAAAAAAAAAAAAGAACAGGUAGCAGACAAGCUAUUUGUUACUUUAUGUUUUGCUUCCAAGGCUUCCUCAGCUGCCUUCAUCUUGGCAACAGAAUCAUCUUCAUCAUCCCUACUUAAGAAAACAAAGAACCUAUUGUUAAACAAUUUAGAACUUGAAAAAGAAAAGAACCAUGUUACUUGGACUUAAGUAUGAGUGUUAGGUGUCAGUAUAAAGACAUGUCAGAUAUGGGUAUGAAGGCAUGUCUGAGAUGAGUAUGUUUAAUUUUUUUUUCCAGGUUUUCCCACAUCCAUGGGUUCCGGACACUGAUACUUAAAUCAUAAAAAGUCGGAAUAAAAAGCAUAACCAUAAUAAUAAAGUACGAACCUAAAAGAGCAAGUACAUUUAACAACAUAUUUUUCUUGAAAUCCCAUAGAAGCAAGAUAUAUGUUCUGCAUCAAAACAUAUAAUUGCAGUAACAAUGAAAAACCCCCCAAAUACCAAAUAUUUUACAAUUAAUAACAUGCCAAAAAUUUUACAUUACAUU